UCAAAAACAUGGCCUAUUGAUUAUAAUUUUAGGUUGAGUCUGCCCCCUGAAUUUUAAAUGGCCGCGGUAUUUUGACCGUGCUAAGGUAGCAUAAUCAUUAGUUUCUUAAUUAGAAGCUGGAAUGAAGGGCUGGAUGAGAAAAAAGCUGUCUCUAUUUAAAUUUAUUAAAAAUUUAUUUUUUAGUAAAAAAGCUAAAAUUGUUUUAAAAGACGAGAAGACCCUAUAGAGUUUAAUAUAUUUAAGAUUUUAUAAUUAAAUUAGUAUAUAAAUUUUUAAUUUUUUAAUAUAUUUAGUUGGGGUGAUUGAAAAAUUAAUUUAACUUUUUUUAAUUUUUAUCAUUAAUUUAUGAAUUAUUGAUCCAUUAUUUAUGAUUAUAAGAUUAAAUUACCUUAGGGAUAACAGCGUAAUAUUUUCAGAGAGUUCUUAUUGAAGAAAAAGAUUGCGACCUCGAUGUUGGAUUAAAAUUAAUUUUCGGUGCAGUAGUUGAAAAGAUUAGGUCUGUUCGACCUUUAAAAUUUUACAUGAUCUGA
rnacentral:rRNA from 1 species